rnacentral:rRNA from 1 species
UACGAAGGGGGCUAGCGUUGCUCGGAAUCACUGGGCGUAAAGCGCACGUAGGCGGAUUGCUAAGUCAGGGGUGAAAUCCUGGAGCUCAACUCCAGUGCUGCCUUUGAUACUGGCGACCUUGAGUCCGGGAGAGGUGAGUGGAACUGCGAGUGUAGAGGUGAAAUUCGUAGAUAUUCGCAAGAACACCAGUGGCGAAGGCGGCUCACUGGCCCGGUACUGACGCUGAGGUGCGAAAGCGUGGGGAGCAAACAGG